rnacentral:tRNA from 1 species
GGUAGUGUGGCCGAGUUAUAGGUGGCGAGUUGUAGCCUCGUCGACUGGGAGUAGCCCACGCUGCCAGGCC